CAAAACUCAUGUUGAAAUUUAAUUGCCAUUGUGACAGUGCUGAGAGCUGAAACCUUUGGGAAGUGAUUGGGCCAAGAGGGCUCUGCCCUCCCAAAUGGAUUAAUUCCAUCAUUGCAGCAGUGGUUUAAUCAUCAUGGGAGUGGGCUAGUUAUCACAGGAGUUCUAUCCUCUUUUUCUCUCUCACCCUUCCAUCCUUCUCACUUCUGCCAUGGGAUGACUCUCACCAGGUACUGGUGCCAUGCUCUUGUACUUACAGAACUCAGGAAAGAAGUAUAACUAUGUAUGGAAAACCAGGAACUUGGGAUGGAUAAGACAACAAUCAUGAUGAACACGGGGCCCUGAGUCUCAGUGUCUGGAUGUUAUGAUCUGACAGUGUCCAUUCGUUUCCUCUAAAACCAAUGGGAAAUUAGCAUACUUUCACUUCCUGCCCUGUAACUCUGGCCACAGGUUUGCUGAAAAACAUCAGAUACAAAAUGCCUAAUGGAGUGGCCGGCAGAAUUUCUGAAAUUAUUUCCAUGAAAAUAACUUCUGUGAAAUCUUUAAGAUGAAUGAAAAAAGUGUGAUUCCAAAUUUACAAAGCCGCAAAGACAUUAAAUGAGGCUCACAUCUUGACAUAAGGCUGGAGGGUAUCACUAGAAGACUAAGAGAAAUCAGCAGAAUUAAAUUCGGCGAGUACUUACUACAUGCCUACUAUGAGUCUCUAACGUAUAGAUGAAUUAAAUAAACUUUGCUAUAAUUAUACUAUUACUUUA